CAACCCUCAAGCCCCCUUCCGGGUUUGGCGUUGGGGAUCGGCCCCGCCCCGGCGGCCGGCCCCGAAAACUAGUGGCGGUCACGCCGCAGCUUCCUCUGCGUAGUAGCAACACCUCGCACUGGGAUGCGGCGCGGCCACGCCGUUAAUCAGACGAAUCAUUUCUGAA
rnacentral:misc_RNA from 1 species